rnacentral:lncRNA from 1 species
AAUGUGCAAGUAUCGACUGCCAGUGAUGAUGGCCUAGUGGUAAGGGCAUUAAUGGAUUCUGAACCUAUGGUGACAGGGUCUGCCCACCUUGGAUUGACGGGUCUGCCCACCUUGUAUGAAUGCGUAUAUCGCUUUGUUAAAAUGGAUUCUGAACCUGUAAUUUCUUGGUGGGGCUAUGGUGACAGGGUCUGCCCACCUUGGAUUGACGGGUCACAAAUGGGGCUAAGUCAUGACUUGCGAACAUUUCAUCGUGAGAUAAUGCCCAGAGACAGUAGACAUGCCGGUUGUUCCUCCUUGCACAUUCUGGAUUGGCAAGGAUAAGAAAGCAAAGAAGUGGCAAGUAGAGGGAUACACUGAUUGCUGUGACGUGAUCAACCAAAUUUGGC